AUGCGUUACUGAGGCUUCUGGAGUUCCACCUGCCUUAAUUUAUCAUUCUAACAAGUUUCUGCCACUUUAAGAUCUCCAAGAAUAUUAGAACUCACUUUUGGUGAACGAGCUAGGGUUAUUAAGGACAAACCCCUCCUGCUCUGAGAGGUUUCAAAGGAUGUUACGGCAGGAGUCGAGGAAUGAAGCAAGGCGUCUGGUAGCAGUGAGCUAAUCGGAGGGAAGGCUACACCCCAACCCCAACUGCCUAGAGCAGCACCAGGGCUCUGUGGCCAUCACAACUAAAACAGAACCUUUUUGGACUGACCAAUGACAAUUUGGGUGGAGGGGCUGCAAAAUAAUAUGCAAAUCAAGACUGAAAAAGAAAUCAACUUCUGUUGCAAAUGAGAAUUGAUCACUUAUGUCUGUUUUGAGAUGCCUUGAGGGGCCAGUUGAGAGAAACUGUCAAAUGAAAAAGA